rfam:Lactococcus piscium MKFS47 genome assembly, chromosome: I
GCCGAUUUUGCUCAGUUGGUAGAGCAGCUCACUCGUAACGAGCAGGUCGCAGGUUCGAUUCCUACAAUCGGCA